rnacentral:rRNA from 1 species
GCAUAUCAAUAAGCGGAGGAAAAGAAACCAACAGGGAUUGCCUCAGUAACGGCGAGUGAAGCGGCAAGAGCUCAAAUUUGAAAGCUGGCCCCUUCGGAUCAGAGUUGUAAUUUGCAGAGGAUGCUUCGGGUGCAGCCCCCGUCUAAGUGCCCUGGAACGGGCCGUCAUAGAGGGUGAGACCCCGUCUGUGCGCCUGUAUGCGCCGUGAGUGCUUUUUCAACGAGUCGAGUUGUUUGGUAAUGCAGCUCUUAAUGGGUGGUAAAUUUCAUCUAAUGCUAAUUACUGUCCGUCGACCGAUAGCGCAUAAGUAGAGUGAUCGAAAGAUGAAAAGCACUUUGAAAAGAGAGUUAAACAGCACGUGAAAUUGUUGAAAGGGAAGCGUUUGCAACCAGACUCGCCCGCGGCGUUCAGCCGGCAUUCGUGCCGAUGUACUUCCUCGAGGACGGCCCAGCGUCGGUUUGUUAGGCCGGUCAAAGGCCUUCGGCAUGUAUCACCUCUCGGAUGUGUUAUAGCAUAGGAUGCAAUGCGGCCUGUCUUUCCCAGGACGCGCUUCGCUCGGUGGGGAUUAAUGUCGUAAUGACCCGUCUUGAAACACGGACC